UGCCACGUUAAUCGCGAUACUCGAAAGGUACAAAAUUGCACAAUCGGAUUUGUCAAGUAGAAUUGGAAGUAUCUCUUAAAAAAUUUAAGAUAUCAUAUUCUUUUCUAAUGUUACCUCUAAGAAUUUCAUUAGUAAAAUUGCAUAGUUGCAAAAUAAUUCAUUUUUAUGCUUGGGCUCAAAUCGGCAACUUUUGCACUUUCAGAUCUGGCAACAUUAUUCAUGCUGUUCGUUACUUUCUUUGAAAAUGCCGUUCGCAAUGGAACCCGUUUCAGAGAGCUCCGAUGUCAUUCCAUCAGAAAUUUUUGAAAAGUUAACGAGUUUUUUAUUUUAUAAAUAUUUUCCCUCUGAAGAUGCAGCUCAGAAAUUUUCCACAUCCAGAUUUAACCAAUUUCAUUCCGCCUUGUCCUCGUUGCGGAGGUAAGUUUUACUUUAUUUCUGCCUGUGCCAGGAGUGCCUUACGCGGAUAUCUGUAUGUUAACUAAUUCAAUUUGUCGUAUUUUUCAGGCGCGAUGGAGAAGAAAGCGGAUUCGUCAGAGAAGUUCGGGUAUAUCUACCGCUGUGAGAAAAUAAAUCAAAGAGAAAAAAAGAGAAGACGAACUGGAGGCUUUAUCUGGAGAGCCAAGUGCACCGGCGCGAUCUCUUGUGCCCAAAAUACAUUUUUUGAAGGAGCUAAGCUCUCAGUUCAAAAGAUAUAAUAUCGUGGCAUUUGGCAUUAUAUUUUCGGUAGCCAUAUUUUUUCUUUUCUUUGUUCUCGUCUUUCUGGAAUUUUCCUGUUUAAUCCUACCCUUGGGAGUUGAUUAUUCACAUCUAAGACAAUAGAAACUAAGUAGCCCUAAGGGGUUAACAGGGUAAGGGAAGGACACCCACAGAAUCGGCGGUUUCACGUUACGUUACGUGUUUCUGUAAUUCGAUCGUAUCGCUUAAGAUGAUGUAUGUUUUAUGAGAUAAUUUUUUUUUAUUUUUGUAUUUAACAGGUGCUGAUGAUUAUUUACUCGUGGGUCAAGGAGGAGCCGGUCACCAUCGCUGCGAAUGAAUGCGGCGUGGCCAUGCAUACAGCGGUGGACUGGUACAACUUCUGCCGGGAAAUUGCGGAGGUUAUCGUCUCUAACGAGCAAAAACAGAUUGGCGGUAAAAAUCUACGCGUCGAGAUUGAUGAAACUUUUACCAGGAGACGAAAGUACAACCGUGGGCGCAUAACCAAAGGCACACAACUAACUAUAUUUGAUGCCUAUUGUCGGGAAACACGAGAGAUUACUGGCAUGUGGAGAACAAAAGCAGGCGCCUAUGAAGCCACAUAUCCAGAUACAUCGCUCCAGGUUCCAUAAUCGUUUCCGACAGCGCUCCGCAAUAUCGCAGUUGUACGACGAUGGGCUUCUCGGAAUACAAGACCGUUAAUCACAGCCAGCAGGGCCCCGGGAGAUUCGUCAACAGCGAUGAUCCCCAGGCUCAUACUCAAAACAUCGAGUGUAGACAUCGCUGGCUGAAGAAGUCCAUCAAGUCGCUUCGCACGGACAGGAGCCUGCAGAGCUACACAUGCACUUAUGUAUACAGGACGCGGUUCCUGUCCCAGUUGCCAACAAUAUCGGCAAAAUUCCGGCAGUUCGUCGAACAUAUUAUGGCCGUCUACCCGGGCCCCGGUCGUGAGGGUCUCCAACUGAAGACGAUCGGUGUACCCGUGGACGAAGAUCAGCCGCCAGACGAGCCCUAUUUUGAUGUGUACCUGCCGACGAAGAGGAACCGCAAGAAAAUGACGAACCCCCCCCCCAGUGAAUAGUGCAGCUUUUGUAUAGUGGGCGUGACCAAAGGAUAGUUCCUUGCAGAUGUGAAACCUGGAUUAUGUGAUUUUUCAGACUUCGGAUACCUCGGACGCAACAGCACCUUUGUCGUCGACCCGAAGGACCAAGCGGAGGCAGGGGCCAGCGGCCUCAGCUAACCAGCAAAGCCUAGAUGUCGCCAAAUAGCGAGAAGGGAGGACAGCGCCUCCUCUUGCGGGAAACGCAGAAAAGGCGCUGUGAAGGUGAGUGUCUGUUUUUUCC